ACAUUAAGUUGCUGUCAUUUAGGUGGACUCUACCUGCAGUUUAUAUUUAAAUUUACAGAACUUUAGCAAUAAAACAGAGCCACAAGCCUCUGGCAAUAGGUAUCUCGUUAAUCUGACCACAAUACAAUUAAUUGUCAUGUGCACUGUACUUGAAUCAAUCUUUCUUACUAUUCUAAUACAACAGCGCCACAAACGUUUAACCAAGCGACCGUUCCUGG